ensembl:lncRNA DLGAP1-AS5 DLGAP1 antisense RNA 5
ACUUGCUCUUUUUUCCUCCCAUUUUAGCAGCCAAGGAUGGGAAUUACACAGCGAAAUGCAGGCUAAUCAGCUAAAUCUAGAUUAAAUAUGCUAGUCCUUGGGGACCUUGAGCUGAAUUAAUGGAAACCGAGGUUUUUAAUGUUCCAGACUAAUUUUGGAAGCUCACUUCCAGCAGAGGCAAACUUGAGGCUGUCCAAAGGGAGCAGAUGGCAAGGCUUUCUCCAGGUGCACCAACCUUUGAAACAGCCCUCGGCAAAACCAUGAGGAAGAGCAAGAAGAUCGAAGCAAAUGAACAAAGGUGGGAUCCGGUUCCAAUAAUGAAGAAUGUGAUGACUACAUGUAUACCAUUCUGGAACAGAGAAAAGACUGCCUGCAGCAAUAUCUCUAAAAACUACCUGUGGCAGACUCAGUGGAUGGUCAAGUUUGGCUCUGAAACAAGUCUCCUCAUUUGUCAGAGAAAGGACAGAGAAGAUCCAGUUUAUGUGAUUAAUUCAAUGAUAUUAGUAGAGAUCAUAGAUACAAUGAUCAAAAUAAGAACAUUGCUUUUUGCAAAAUCAGAUUAAACUGCACUCCAAAACA